GCGGGCCGAGUGAGCUCGGUCGCCGACUCAAUCCCGCCGCGGUGCUCUUGACUGAGUGUCGAGGUGGGCCGGCAAGAUUACUUUGAACAAAUUAGAGUGCUAAAAGCGGGCUCACUUACGCCUGGAUACUGUCGCAUGGAAUAAUGGAAUAGGACUUCGGUUCUAAUUUUAUUGGUUUUAAGAGCCUGAAGUAAUGAUUGAUGGGGGCAGACGGGGGCACCCGUACUGUGACGUUAGAGGUGAAAUUCUUGGAUCGUCGCAAGACGAACAACAGCGAAAGCAUUUGCCAAGUAUGCCCUUGUUAAUUAAGAACGAAAGUUAGAGGCUCGAAGGCGAUCAGAUACCGCCCUAGUUCUGACCGUAAACUAUGCCAGCCAGCGAUCCGCCACUGUUACUUUGAUGACUUGGCGGGCAGCUCCCGGGAAACCAAAGCUUAUGGGUUCCGGGGGAAGUAUGGUUGCAAAGCUGAAACUUAAAGGAAUUGACGGAAGGGCACCACCAGGAGUGGAGCCUGCGGCUUAAUUUGACUCAACACGGGAAACCUCACCAGGCCAGGACACUGGAAGGAUUGACAGACUGAUGGCUCUUUCUUGAUUCAGUGGGUGGUGGUGCAUGGCCGUUCUUAGUUGGUGGAGUGAUCUGUCUGGUUAAUUCCGAUAACGAGCGAGACUCUAGCCUAAUAAAUAGACGCUUGGUGGUAUCCUCAGUGCUACCAGCGAACAAAAUCUCUUCUUAUGGGAACCGGCGGCUCAGAAGCCGUACGAGAUUGAGCAAUAACAGGUCUGUGAUGCCCUUAGAUGUCCUGGGCCGCACGCGUGCUACACUGAAGGUGACAACGUGCACUCCCUGGCCGAAAGGUCCGGGCAACCGUUGAACCUCCUUCGUGAUAGGGACUGGGGCUUGCAAUUCUACCCCACGAACGAGGAAUUCCCAGUAAGCGCAAGUCAUAAGCUUGCGCUGACUAAGUCCCUGCCCUUUGUACACACCGCCCGUCGCUACUACCGAUUGGAUGGUUUAGUGAGGUCUUUGGACUGGUGCUCGGCGAUCGCCUCGUGCGGUCGCCGA
rnacentral:rRNA from 1 species